rnacentral:rRNA from 1 species
UACGUAGGGUGCGAGCGUUGGCCGGAAUUAUUGGGCGUAAAGAGCUUGUAGGCGGUCUGUUGCGUCUGCUGUGAAAACCCGAGGCUCAACCUCGGGCCUGCAGUGGGUACGGGCAGACUAGAGUGCGGUAGGGGAGAAUGGAACUCCUGGUGUAGCGGUGGAAUGCGCAGAUAUCAGGAAGAACACCGAUGGCGAAGGCAGUUCUCUGGGCCGUAACUGACGCUGAGGAGCGAAAGCGUGGGGAGCGAACAGG